GAUGAAGAACGUAGCGAAAUGCGAUAAGUAAUGUGAAUUGCAGAAUUCCGUGAAUCAUCGAAUCUUUGAACGCACAUUGCGCCCCCUGGUAUUCCGGGGGGCAUGCCUGUCCGAGCGUCAUUGCAACCUUCAAGCGCGGCUUGUGUGUUGGGUCUCGUCCCCCGUGGACGGGCCCGAAAGGCAGUGGCGGCGUCCCGACAUGGUGCCCGAGCGUAUGGGAAUCCUCUUCCGCUCGAAUCGGCCCAUGCGGCGCUGGUCGUAACCAAAUUUUUUACCGGUUGACCUCGGAUCAGGUAGGGAUACCCGCUGAACUUAAGCAUAUCAAUAAGCGGACGA
rnacentral:misc_RNA from 1 species